GUGCGACCUGGCAGGGGAGAGACCAUGAUCAUGAAGGUGGUUCUCCCCGGACAGGGCUAGCCCAUUGCACUUUGGGUGUGUUGACGCCUGUGAUGUCCCCAAAUGCGAGCUACUCGACUGCAAGAUUUGUGGAAGUGGGGGACCGUGUUCGUGCUCUCACCUG